rnacentral:rRNA from 1 species
GAUGAACGCUGGCGGCGUGCCUAAUACAUGCAAGUCGAACGCUGGAAAUCUAGCUUGCUAGAUUGAAGGAGUGGCGAACGGGUGAGUAAUACAUAAGCAACCUACCCACGAAGACUGGGAUAAUCUCUGGAAACGGGGACUAGUACCGGAUAGGUAAUCGGAAGGCAUCUUCUGAUUAUUAAAGGUUAAAAACACUGGUGGAUGGGCUUAUGGCGCAUUAGUUAGUUGGUGAGGUAACGGCCCACCAAGACGAUGAUGCGUAGCCGGCCUGAGAGGGUGAACGGCCACAUUGGGACUGAGACACGGCCCAGACUCCUACGGGAGGCAGCAGUAGGGAAUUUUCGGCAAUGGGGGAAACCCUGACCGAGCAACGCCGCGUGAGUGAUGACGGCCUUCGGGUUGUAAAGCUCUGUUGUAAGGGAAGAACGGUAGAUAGAGAAUAUCUAAAUGACGGUACCUUACCAGAAAGCCACGGCUAACUACGUG